GACGAACGCUGGCGGCGUGCUUAACACAUGCAAGUCGAACGGAAAGGCCCUGCUUGCAGUGUACUCGAGUGGCGAACGGGUGAGUAACACGUGGGUGAUCUGCCCUGCACUUCGGGAUAAGCCUGGGAAACUGGGUCUAAUACCGGAUAGGAGCCAUUUUUAGUGUGAUGGUUGGAAAGUUUUUUCGGUGUAGGAUGAGCUCGCGGCCUAUCAGCUUGUUGGUGGGGUAAUGGCCUACCAAGGCGGCGACGGGUAGCCGGCCUGAGAGGGUGGACGGCCACACUGGGACUGAGAUACGGCCCAGACUCCGACGGGAGGAAGAAGUGGGGAAUAUUGCACAAUGGGCGCAAGCCUGAUGCAGCGACGCCGCGGGGGGGAUGACGGUCUUCGGGUUGUAAAAUCCUUUCGCUAGGGACGAAGCUUUUUGUGACGGUACCUAGAGAAGAAGCACCGGCUAACUACGUG
rnacentral:rRNA from 1 species